UACGAAGGGGGCUAGCGUUGUUCGGAAUUACUGGGCGUAAAGCGCACGUAGGCGGACAUUUAAGUCAGGGGUGAAAUCCCAGAGCUCAACCCUGGAACUGCCUUUGAUACUGGGUGUCUUGAGUAUGGAAGAGGUGAGUGGAAUUCCGAGUGUAGAGGUGAAAUUCGUAGAUAUUCGGAGGAACACCAGUGGCGAAGGCGGCUCACUGGUCCAUUACUGACGCUGAGGUGCGAAAGCGUGGGGAGCAAACAGG
rnacentral:rRNA from 1 species